rnacentral:tRNA from 1 species
GCCCAGAUAGCUCAGUUGGUAGAGCAGCGGAUUGAAAAUCCGCGUGUCGUUGGUUCGAUUCCGACUCUGGGCACCG